AUCUGUAGCGGGUCUGAGAGGAUGAUCCGCCACACUGGGACUGAGACACGGCCCAGACUCCUACGGGAGGCAGCAGUGGGGAAUAUUGGACAAUGGGCGCAAGCCUGAUCCAGCCAUGCCGCGUGUGUGAAGAAGGCCUUAUGGUUGUAAAGCACUUUAAGCGAGGAGGAGGCUACUUUAGAUAAUACCUAGAGAUAGUGGACGUUACUCGCAGAAUAAGCACCGGCUAACUCUGUGCCAGCAGCCGCGGUAAUACAGAGGGUGCAAGCGUUAAUCGGAUUUACUGGGCGUAAAGCGCGCGUAGGCGGCUAAUUAAGUCAAAUGUGAAAUCCCCGAGCUUAACUUGGGAAUUGCAUUCGAUACUGGUUAGCUAGAGUGUGGGAGAGGAUGGUAGAAUUCCAGGUGUAGCGGUGAAAUGCGUAGAGAUCUGGAGGAAUACCGAUGGCGAAGGCAGCCAUCUGGCCUAACACUGACGCUGAGGUGCGAAAGCAUGGGGAGCAA
rnacentral:rRNA from 1 species